GUAGGGGGCAAGCGUUGUCCGGAUUUAUUGGGCGUAAAGCGCUCGCAGGUGGUUCGUCGCGUCGUGCGUGAAAGACCCCGGCUCAACUGGGGAGUGUCGUGCGAUACGGGCGGACUGGAGGCCAGUAGGGGGAUGCGGAAUUCCGGGUGUAGUGGUGGAAUGCGUAGAGAUCCGGAGGAACACCAGCGGCGAAGGCGGCAUCCUGGACUGGUCCUGACACUCAGGAGCGAAAGCGUGGGGAGCGAUCCGGAUUAGAUACCCGGGUAGUCCACGCUGUAAACGAUGCGCACUAGGUGUCGGGGGUAUCGACCCCCUCGGUGCCGCAGCUAACGCGAUAAGUGCGCCGCCUGGGGACUACGGCCGCAAGGCUAAA
rnacentral:rRNA from 1 species